AAUUCCAACUCCCGUUACCAUGGG
rnacentral:siRNA from 1 species